rfam:Tribolium castaneum strain Georgia GA2 linkage group LG4, whole genome shotgun sequence.
GUAAAGGAUUCUUUGGAAUCUACACAAGUUUUUCAAAAAAAAUAUU